rnacentral:sRNA from 12 species
GACCUAAACCGUUCGAGCAAUCGGCGGCAUGGUUCCAAAACGUUUCCACGUAGAGAGCUCCUAGUCAGAGCACGUGGAAACGUCAUAUCUCGAAAGGGGUAUGGGUCCCGCAAGGAUC